AUUGAACGCUGGCGGCAGGCUUAACACAUGCAAGUCGAACGAGUGGCGGACGGGUGAGUAAUGUCUGGGAAACUGCCCGAUGGAGGGGGAUAACUACUGGAAACGGUAGCUAAUACCGCAUACCAUCGGAUUUGCCCAGAUGGGAUUAGCUAGUAGGUGGGGUAACGGCUCACCUAGGCGACGAACCCUAGCUGGUCUGAGAGGAUGACGAGCCAAACUGGAACUGAGACACGGACCAGACUCCUACGGAAGGCAGCAGUGGGGAAUUGUUGACAAUGGGGGCAAGCCGGAUGCAGCCAUCCGGCGUGUAUGAGGAAGGCCUUCGGGUGGUAAAGUACUUUCAGCGAGGAGGCGUUACUCGCAGAAGAAGCACCGGCUAACUCCGUGCCAGCAGCCGCGGUAAUAC
rnacentral:rRNA from 1 species